UCUAUUUGAUGAUUGGGAUCUUUCAGAGGGCUGGGGUGCUGAGUCAUCUGAGAGUGCAGACCAGAAACAUGUAUCUUCAGAACAAGACCAGAACUCAAUGCUCAAGGUUAUCUGCAAUCAACGAGAUCGAUUCAGGACGCGUUUGCGAGAGACAGAAGAAGAGGUGAGGCAAUUGAAGGAGAAAAUAGGGGUUUUAACAGCAGAGCUGGAAAAGACAAAAGCUGAUAAUGUCAAAC
rnacentral:misc_RNA from 1 species